CCUACGGGAGGCAGCAGUGGGGAAUAUUGCACAAUGGGGGAAACCCUGAUGCAGCGACGCCGCGUGAGUGAAGAAGUAAUUCGUUAUGUAAAGCUCUAUCAGCAGGGAAGAAAAUGACGGUACCUGAGUAAGAAGCCCCGGCUAACUACGUGGCAGCAGCCGCGGUAAUACGUAGGGAGCACGCGUUAUACGGAUUUACUGGGUGUAAAGGGAGCGUAGACGGCAGUGCAAGUCUGUAGUGAAAGGCGGGGGCCAAACCCCCGGUCUGCUGUGGAAACUGUACGGCUGGAGUGCAGGAGAGGUAAGAGGAAUUCGGAGGGUAGCGGUGAAAUGCGUAGAUAUUAGGAGGAACACCAGUGGCGAAGGCGGCUUACUGGACUGUAACUGACGUUGAGGCUCGAAAGCGUGGGGAGCAAACAGGAUUAGAUACCCGAGUAGUC
rnacentral:rRNA from 1 species